UAAAAGUCCGAAAGAAUCCCAUUAUGCAAUUAUCCGGCUCAAAAGUGUCGGGCUUUGACCCCAACAAGUAGCCACUGGUUUUCGAAGGGCUGAGUUAGAGUUGCUGGCCGGGACAAUAACGGAGGAGCAGAGUCGUCAUGAUGUGAAUAUAAACAUAAACAGAGUGUCAUUAAUCCCUACUUCCUCUGAACUACAAGUCAUCCCCUAAUAAUGAAGAAUGUGAAAGGCAAAAUUGUGAAGCCCUUCCGACUGAAAACCGUGUAGGAUAUGGUAAAGUUCGUGAAGCGCAUAUAACCAAAAAUUCAAAAGUGAGCCCAAAUGUGAGCCGUAGGCCCUUGGCAUUAAGGUCACCAGUUAAAAAAGAAGAGCUGGAAGAAGAAGAAAGGAGAAUCGUUUUUCUGAUUCGAAAAUGCCCCAGCUCGGCAUGCAAAUUCUCCGUCAAAUUCAUGCGCGAAUCCUUACGCACUUUUCUCCCAUUUCCUCAAUCCUCUCCAUUGCCGCUCUCUCUCCUUUUGGCAACUUGGAUUGCGCAACGCAAAAUUUUCUCUCAAAUCCCAAACCCAGGUGUUUUGCGUACAAUACAGUUAUAAGGGAUUGUUUAUACACUAAAAACCCAUCAAAGGAACCCAUUUAGUUGUUCAAAGAUAUGGUUGGAAAAGGCUACCCAAAUCUGAACACUUUUACUAUGGUUUUUGUGCUCAAAGCUUGAUCAAUUAUAAUGGCUCUUGAAGAAGGUAAGCAGAUUCUUGCGCAAAUCUUGCGAUCUGGGUUUAGCUCAAGCCCUUAUGUGCAAUCUUCAUUGGUGAAUUUUUAAUAGAAGUGUGAAGAAAUAACUAUUGCUAGAAAGGUGUUCGACGAAAUUACUGAGAAAAAUUUGGUUUGUUGGAGUGCAAUGGUCAGUGGGUAUGCAAGGUUAGGAAUGGUUAACGAGGCUUUGAUUAUGUUUAGAGAAAUGCAACUGGUGGGUAUUGAACCUGAUGAAGUUUCAUUGGUAGGUGUGAUAACUGCUUGUGCUAUGGUUGGAGCACUAGAUAUAGCCAAUAGGGAAGUGGGUUCAUAAGUGGGUUCAUGCGAAAAUCAAGAAACGGAUGAUUCAUAUUGAUCUUGAGCUUAAUACAGCUCUAAUUAAUAUGUUUGCCAAGUGUGGAUGCAAGAGAAAGCCAAAGAAAUUUUUUAUGAGAUGAGCGUAAAAGAUAGUAAAGCUUGGAGUUCAAUGAUUGUUGGAUUGGCCAUUCAUGGACUUGCAGAGGAUGCACUGGAUGUCUUUUCGAGGAUGGAAGAAGCACAGGUAAUGAGAUAAAAGAAAAAAAAAAAAAGAAAGUAAAUCUGACAGUUUUCUCAUGAUUAUAGCAAAGAAAGAAAGGUGAUUUAGAAGCUUAAUCCCAAUUCUUUUGUAGUCUGCACACUGGUCUAAGCAUCCCAAGCUAAGUGUUGUCAUAAAAAGAAUCAUUAUUACGUUUUUUUAGUCUUUAAUGAAGAAAAUUUAAUGGAUGAAGCAAAAUAAACAUAAACUAGGUGCAAAACAGGUAUACCUUCACAUAUAAUUGUGUAAGUAUACACAUACACAAGUAUUAGGGCCGAAUAGAUCAAUUCACCCUUGAACUAUUUGGAGAAAGUCUACUGCACCCUUGACCUUUUUAUUUACACUUGUUGAGUUGUACUCUUAAAUUUUUGUUUUUGACUAAUUGGAAGUUUCCCCUUUCUGUAA